UGACGAGUGGCGGACGGGUGAGUAAUGCUUGGGAACUUGCCUUUGCGAGGGGGAUAACAGUUGGAAACGACUGCUAAUACCGCAUAAUGUCUUCGGACCAAACGGGGCUUCGGCUCCGGCGCAAAGAGAGGCCCAAGUGAGAUUAGCUAGUUGGUAAGGUAACGGCUUACCAAGGCGACGAUCUCUAGCUGUUCUGAGAGGAAGAUCAGCCACACUGGGACUGAGACACGGCCCAGACUCCUACGGGAGGCAGCAGUGGGGAAUAUUGCACAAUGGGGGAAACCCUGAUGCAGCCAUGCCGCGUGUGUGAAGAAGGCCUUCGGGUUGUAAAGCACUUUCAGUUGUGAGGAAAAGUUAGUAGUUAAUACCUGCUAGCCGUGACGUUAACAACAGAAGAAGCACCGGCUAACUCCGUGCCAGCAGCCGCGGUAAUACGGAGGGUGCGAGCGUUAAUCGGAAUUACUGGGCGUAAAGCGCACGCAGGCGGUUUGUUAAGCUAGAUGUGAAAGCCCCGGGCUCAACCUGGGAUGGUCAUUUAGAACUGGCAGACUAAAGUCUUGGAGAGGGGAGUGGAAUUCCAGGUGUAGCGGUGAAAUGCGUAGAUAUCUGGAGGAACAUCAGUGGCGAAGGCGACUCCCUGGCCAAAGACUGACGCUCAUGUGCGAAAGUGUGGGUAGCGAACAGGAUUAGAUACCCUGGUAGUCCACACCGUAAACGCUGUCUACUAGCUGUGUGUGCCUUUAAGGCGUGCGUAGCGAAGCUAACGCGCUAAGUAGACCGCCUGGGGGAGUACGGCCGCAAGGUUAAAACUCAAAUGAAUUGACGGGGGCCCGCACAAGCGG
rnacentral:rRNA from 1 species